rnacentral:lncRNA from 1 species
UCUAGCUAAUUAGCUGGCUAACACUAUCUGUUAACAGAGUCAAGUUUACCAAUAAAAAUCUAUUUUUGGAUGAGUAAUUUCUGUUGCAUGUAAAUACAUGUAUGCAUGCUUAUUAGUGGAGGAUCCUUAGAGGAGGAAGGAGAGGACCAUCCUAAUCAGUGAAUUUCAGAAGUUUUUUUUUUUUAAAUAAAACAUUAAAAAGUUAUCCUUUAAGAUAAAACUAUACUAAAUAUAUUAAAUAAAACACACUGUUUUGCAUUGGCCUACAGUAGUCUCAACAGCACCCUCUAGGCUAGCAUGGUGUAGCCGGAGGACAGCUAUUUUCUGUCCUCCGGCUACAUUGACUUCAAUACAAAACCUAGGAGGCUCAUACUUCUCACCCCCUUCCAUAAACCUACUUGGUAAUUUGACGAUUUCCGGAGGAUGUCCAACCAAUCGAUGCUUUUGCAGUAUGAACUGACACGUUGUCCAUCCAAUCAUAGGAACAGAUCAUUAAUCUAGUGUGGUGUAUUGGGGUUGGGCUGUAGAACAUCAUGGGGGUCCUAUGUGUGGAGAAGCUUGGUGAAUCGGUGACAUUGUUGGACAGUUAGAGACUGAGAUAAUAUCCCCAAAAAACUAUUAGAUUAAAACGAGUUUCUUCAAAUUACAGGAAAAAAUUAGGUAAAUGAUAUAUAUUGUUUUCUUGGUUUUAGAACUUCAUUUUUGUGUUGAGUUUAUUUAUUUCAGUUUGCUUUGCUAACUUUAGUAACAAGAAGCUAGAUAGCUACCAAAGUGCAGCUACCAAAUGCCUUCCUACAACAAUGUAGAGCAUUUAUUUGUUGUUUAUUUUAUUGCCCAGAUCAGAUUCAAGCUUCUGGGAAAAAACUACAUCGAUCAUGUAAUGCACGAAGGUCUGCAUAUUCCAACUGCGCAACACAAUGAGAAGCUAAAUCUCCUCCUGUUCCCUGAUUAAGCCAUGAUGGCCCUCUCCACUCCACUACCAGUGUCAACACUCUCCUGACAUGAACUGAAGCCAUGUCUCAUGUGCCCUCUCAUCCACUGGUGCAUUGAAUGUUUCAUCUCCAUGCACUGUGAGUAGCCCUGUCAAUUGACCCUACAUACAGUGAUGAGAGAAAAUC